AUAUUUUUCAGUUAUUGCUACUGGCCAAAGUUAAUUCGCAAUAUUACUAUCAUACUCUUAAUAUUUUCGUUUGCAAACAGUUUGGUCAUUUUGUGUAUCUUUCGUGCGUUUGUAAACGAACGAUAUUCAUGCUUCUAUUACUUUUCGCGAACAACCCUUUUGCGAUUCAAAGCUAUUCAGUUCGUUUCAAUUCAGGUUUUUUUCCUCUCAUUCGCAACGCGAACGGGUUUAACCAUUUUGUUGUUUCAUACAUUCAAUUUACCUCAGAUUUAAUCUGACGUCAUUUCCCCGACUUUUUUCACAGCUAGUUGUUUGUCAGCUAGCUCUUUCAUGCUCCUUUACUGCCUACUUUACCUCAGCAGAUUCCUUCGGCUGACAUUGUUUCUUCUCUAGGAAAGAUUACAUUGACACAAUUUGUAUCCAGUUAAGGUUUGUUUGUUUUUUUACCAAUUAAUAUAUUAAUUAAU